AAUGAACGCUGGCGGCAGGCCUAAAACAUGCAAGUCGAGCGCCCUAGCAAUAGGGAGCGGCGCACGGGUGAGUAACACGUGGGAAUAUGCCUUUUGGUACGGAACAACCUCGGGAAACUGAGGCUAAUACCGUAUGGUCCCUUCGGGGUAAAGAUUUAUCGCCAAAAGAGUAGCCCGCGUUGGAUUAGCUAGUUGGUAAGGUAACGGCUUACCAAGGCGACGAUCCAUAGCUGGUCUGAGAGGACGAUCAGCCACACUGGGACUGAGACACGGCCCAGACUCCUACGGGAGGCAGCAGUUAGGAAUAUUGGACAAUGGGC
rnacentral:rRNA from 1 species